CCUACGGGAGGCAGCAGUGAGGAAUAUUGGUCAAUGGCCGAAAGUCUGAACCAGCCAAGCCGCGUGAAGGACGAAGGUGCCAAGCAUUGUAAACUUCUUUUGUCAAGGGACAAAAUCAGGCUCGAGAGCCUGACCGAGUGUACUUGAAGAAAAAGCAUCGGCUAACUCCGUGCCAGCAGCCGCGGUAAUACGGAGGAUGCGAGCGUUAUCCGGAUUUAUUGGGUUUAAAGGGUGCGUAGGCGGGCUGUUAAGUCAGCGGUAAAAGCCGGGGGCUCAACCCCGGAGAGCCGUUGAAACUGGCUGUCUUGAGAUGUAGAGAGGUAUGCGGAAUGCGCAGUGUAGCGGUGAAAUGCUUAGAUAUUGCGAAGAACUCCGAUUGCGAAGGCAGCAUACCGGCGGCGAUCUGACGCUGAGGCACGAAAGCGUGGGUAUCGAACAGGAUUAGAUACCCGAGUAGUC
rnacentral:rRNA from 1 species